GCGCGCGUUGAUGAGUUCGCCGCGCCUGCUUGUUCUGGAUGAACCAUCGCUUGGCCUAGCGCCACGCAUCGUCGACGAGAUCGCAGAACGUUUGGUUCAGCUAACGCGGGAAUCCGGCGUAACUGUACUUAUUGCUGAGCAAAAUUCUGCGCUCGGAUUGAANNNNGCUUACGUAUUGCAGCGCGGUCGCGUCGUACUUCACGGGUCGGCAGCUGAGUUGCGAUACA
rnacentral:misc_RNA from 1 species